rnacentral:rRNA from 1 species
GACGAACGCUGGCGGCGUGCUUAACACAUGCAAGUCGAACGGAAAGGCCCUGCUUUUGUGGGGUGCUCGAGUGGCGAACGGGUGAGUAACACGUGAGUAACCUGCCCUUGACUUUGGGAUAACUUCAGGAAACUGGGGCUAAUACCGGAUAGGAGCUCCUGCUGCAUGGUGGGGGUUGGAAAGUUUCGGCGGUUGGGGAUGGACUCGCGGCUUAUCAGCUUCUUGGUGGGGUAGUGGCUUACCAAGGGUUUGACGGGUAGGCCGCCUGAGAGGGUGACCGGCCACAUUGGGACUGAGAGACGGCCCAGACUCCUACGGGAGGCAGCAGUGGGGAAUAUUGCACAAUGGGCGGAAGCCUGAUGCAGCAACGCCGCGUGCGGGAUGACGGCCUUCGGGUUGUAAACCGCUUUCGCCUGUGACGAAGCGUGAGUGACGGUAAUGGGUAAAGAAGCACCGGCUAACUACGUG